GACGAACGCUGGCGGCGUGCUUAACACAUGCAAGUCGAACGGAAAGGCCCUGCUUUUGUGGGGUGCUCGAGUGGCGAACGGGUGAGUAACACGUGAGUAACCUGCCCUUGACUUUGGGAUAACUUCAGGAAACUGGGGCUAAUACCGGAUAGGAGCUCCUGCUGCAUGGUGGGGGUUGGAAAGUUUCGGCGGUUGGGGAUGGACUCGCGGUUUAUCAGCUUGUUGGUGGGGUAGUGGCUUACCAAGGCUUUGACGGGUAGCCGGCCUGGGAGGGUGACCGGCCACAUUGGGACUGAGGUACGGCCCAGACUCCUACGGGAGGCAGCAGUGGGAAUAUUGCACAAUGGGCGGAAGCCUGAUGCAGCAACGCCGCGUGCGGGAUGACGGCCUUCGGGUUGUAAACCGCUUUCGCCUGUGACGAAGCGUGAGUGACGGUAAUGGGUAAAGAAGCACCGGCUAACUACGUG
rnacentral:rRNA from 1 species